rnacentral:rRNA from 1 species
UACGUAGGUGGCGAGCGUUGUCCGGAUUUACUGGGCGUAAAGGGAGCGUAGGCGGAUUUUUAAGUGAGAUGUGAAAUACCCGGGCUCAACUUGGGUGCUGCAUUUCAAACUGGAAGUCUAGAGUGCAGGAGAGGAGAGUGGAAUUCCUAGUGUAGCGGUGAAAUGCGUAGAGAUUAGGAAGAACACCAGUGGCGAAGGCGACUCUCUGGACUGUAACUGACGCUGAGGCUCGAAAGCGUGGGGAGCAAACAGGG